AGUGAACGCUGGCGGUGGGCCUAACACAUGCAAGUCGAACGGCAGCACAGUAAGAGCUUGCUCUUACGGGUGGCGAGUGGCGGACGGGUGAGGAAUACAUCGGAAUCUACUUUUUCGUGGGGGAUAACGUAGGGAAACUUACGCUAAUACCGCAUACGACCUACGGGUGAAAGCAGGGGAUCUUCGGACCUUGCGCGAUUGAAUGAGCCGAUGUCGGAUUAGCUAGUUGGCGGGGUAAAGGCUCACCAAGGCGACGAUCCGUAGCUGGUCUGAGAGGAUGAUCAGCCACACUGGAACUGAGACGCGGUCCAGACUCCUACGGGAGGCAGCAGUGGGGAAUAUUGGACAAUGGGCGCAAGCCUGAUCCAGCCAUACCGCGUGGGUGAAGAAGGCCUUCGGGUUGUAAAGCCCUUUUGUUGGGAAAGAAAAGCAGCAGGUUAAUACCCCGCUGUUCUGACGGUACCCAAAGAAUAAGCACCGGCUAACUUCGUG
rnacentral:rRNA from 1 species